AUAGAUUAACAUUUGAAUUCAUUGUUACUUUUGGAUUCAGCGUUCAAACCAUUGGUUUACAAUAGAAUGUAUCAGCUACAUUGAAAUGUACCGUUUUUCAAUGGUCUGAACGAUUAAAAAAAAACCCUGCUUUUAAGUAAUUUCGAAACAGUGUGUAUCGAUGACAGCCAAGUUUUUUUGUUAUCAGUUUGGUCGUCGGCGGUAAAAUUUUUCGAAGUGUAGGUUCGUCUGCGGAAAAUGUGGAAAAUUCACGCUCAACUGCGUGAAUUUUCCGCACGGGAGUGAUUAUAGUGUGCGGUGCAGUGUAAAAGCAUACAACAGUAGCAGCAUUUCAACAGGAGUCGCAAGGGCAUGAAGCCUGUGUAGGAGCAGUUAGCUCACAGCUUGUUCGAUCGCAUUGCGGUCGAAGGAAUGCGCACGAUUAUGACUGAUCGCUGCAUGGACGAGAACUAGGAGCGCUGAGAAGAGAACGGGGAUGCGGAAUGCUGGAUCAAGGAACUUUGUGGUUUUAUUUUGAAAGCACCGAUCGGUUCAGUAGUUUCCGAGUCUAUUAGGGUCAGACAGACAGACAUACAUUAGUAACUCAUUUUUAUAUAUAAAGAUAGAUAGAUGGAUACCAGGAUAGAUAGAUAUUUCAAUUUUACCAUUCUAA